rnacentral:rRNA from 1 species
GACGAACGCUGGCGGCGUGCUUAGCACAUGCAAGUCGAACGAUGAAACCUAGCUUGCUAGGUCGAUUAGUGGCGAACGGGUGAGUAACACGUGACUAACCUGCCCCUUUCUCUGGGAUAACGCUCCGAAAGGAGUGCUAAUACCGGAUACUCACAUCGAGGCACAUGCCUUGGUGUGGAAAGUUUUUCGGAAAGGGAUGGAGUCGCGGCCUAUCAGCUUGUUGGUGAGGUAACGGCUCACCAAGGCGACGACGGGUAGCCGGCCUGAGAGGGCGACCGGCCACACUGGGACUGAGACACGGCCCAGACUCCUACGGGAGGCAGCAGUGGGGAAUAUUGCACAAUGGGCGCAAGCCUGAUGCAGCGACGCCGCGUGAGGGAUGAAGGUCUUCGGAUUGUAAACCUCUUUCAGUAGGGACGAAGCGAAAGUGACGGUACCUAAAGAAGAAGCACCGGCUAACUACGUGCCAGCAGCCGCGGUAA